ensembl:ncRNA F38B7.15 ncRNA
UUUUUCUCUCUUGAGUUGAUACAGUGUGGUAAUUACACGAGGCGCGUGAGAAAAAAAUUGAAGAAAAUGAUGCUGUUGUUACUGGGAUAGAUCCAGAUAGUGUGCAAG